rnacentral:rRNA from 1 species
GUAGGUGACAAGCGUUGUCCGGAUUUACUGGGUGUAAAGGGAGCGCAGGCGGACCUUUAAGUCAGCUGUGAAAUACGGCGGCUCAACCGUCGAACUGCAGUUGAUACUGGAGGUCUUGAGUGCACACAGGGAUGCUGGAAUUCAUGGUGUAGCGGUGAAAUGCUCAGAUAUCAUGAAGAACUCCGAUCGCGAAGGCAGGCAUCCGGGGUGCAACUGACGCUGAGGCUCGAAAGUGCGGGUAUCAAACAGGAUUAGAUACCCUGGUAGUCCGCACAGUAAACGAUGAAUACUCGCGGUUUGCGAUACAAUGUAAGCCGCCAAGCGAAAGCGUUAAGUAUUCCACCUGGGGAGU